rnacentral:rRNA from 1 species
GAUGAACGCUGGCGGCGUGCCUAAUACAUGCAAGUCGAGCGAACGGACGAGAAGCUUGCUUCUCUGAUGUUAGCGGCGGACAGGUGAGUAACACGUGGAUAACCUACCUAUAAGACUGGGAUAACUUCGGGAAACCGGAGCUAAUACCGGAUAAUAUUUUGAACCGCAGGGUUCAAAAGUGAAAGACGGUCUGGCUGUCACUUAUAGAUGGAUCCGCGCUGCAUUAGCUAGUUGGUAAGGUAACGGCUUACCAAGGCAACGAUGCAUAGCCGACCUGAGAGGGUGAUCGGCUACACUGGAACUGAGACACGGUCCAGACUCCUACGGGAGGCAGCAGUAGGGAAUCUUCCGCAAUGGGCGAAAGCCUGACGGAGCAACGCCGCGUGGGUGAUGAAGGUCUUCGGAUCGUAAAACUCUGUUAUUAGGGAAGAACAUAUGUGUAAGUAACUGUGCACAUCUUGACGGUACCUAAUCAGAAAGCCACGGCUAACUACGUG